rnacentral:misc_RNA from 1 species
UUUCCGUAGGUGAACCUGCGGAAGGAUCAUUAAAAAUGAAGCCGGGAAACCGGUCCUUCUAACCCUUGAUUAUCUUAAUUUGUUGCUUUGGGGGGCCGCGCAAGCACCGGCUUCGGCUGGAUCGUGCCCUCCAGAGGACACAACUCUGUAUCAAAUGUCGUCUGAGUACUAUAAAAUAGUUAAAACUUUCAACAACGGAUCUCUUGGUUCUG